ensembl:lncRNA
CUCGAAUGGCAGUUACAGAAUUCCAAGUGUACAAGGACCUGGCUGCUGCUUCAGGAGGUCAGAGUGUGGAAGUGUCAAAAAAACAGCUUCUGGAGGCCAUCAAUGUUGUUUUGGAGACUUCAACCUCAAGUGUGGUGACCCUUGUGGUCAGGAACUCAAGAAAGUCAGAAAACGUCACUUUCACAGUGGAUGAAAGACUGACAGACCUCACCAUCUACAUAACUGGGACCAACAAAGACUUCAUUCUCAUCAGCCCCACAGGUGUGGCUCAGGAGAGCACUACCACAAAUGGAUCUCUCUUCACUUCAGUGGUUGUUGGAAACCUCCAAGCUUUAAUGUUGAAAACAGAAGGGGGACUGUGGGAAAUUAGGAUGGUUUCGACAAACCCCUACUCUCUGAAGAUCACAGCCAAGAGUCCCAUAGACUUUUUCUUCAGCUUUAUGCAGCCAAUAGAAGGCCCUUUUGAGGGAUACAUUGCAAUUGAAAAUCGUCCAAAAGCAGGAGCGAAUGGCACCAUGAUGGUAAAACUAAUUGGGAGUGACAUGGCCAAUGUGACAGAAGUAUAUCUUGUUUACUCAUCCGGGUCUGGAAAAGUUAAAGGCACAGUCUCCAGUCAGGGCAAUGGAGAAUACUUAGUCCAGUUUGACACAAUCCCCUCCGAGGAGUUCACUGUGGUUGUAAAGGGGCAAAACGGCAAAAUUUCAAGCAAAUCAAUUCAACCAGCGACUUUCCAGCGACAGUCGUCUACCAGCAUCAAACCCUCCUCUGUCUCGGUCACUAUUGAUGACGAAAAUGACAUCAUUGAACCAGGUGCAACUUUGUCUAUGAAUUUUACUGUCUCCUCCAAUGGUUCAGGAGGAACAUUUAGCAUCAGAGCAACUAACGACCAAAGCUUCAGUCUAUCUUUUCCCCAGACUUUGGAGGUGGUGAGCGGCAGCAGCACUGUUGGCACACUGCAGCUAUCAGUCC